UGUUCCCUACGGGGGGCAGCAGUGAGGAAUAUUGGUCAAUGGGCGGAAGCCUGAACCAGCCAAGUCGCGUGAGGGAAUAAGGCCCUACGGGUCGUAAACCUCUUUUGCCGGGGAGCAAGGGCGGGGACGUGUCCCGGCCCGGAGAGUACCCGGAGAAAAAGCAUCGGCUAACUCCGUGCCAGCAGCCGCGGUAAUACGGAGGAUGCGAGCGUUAUCCGGAUUUAUUAGGUUUAAAGGGUGCGCAGGCGGAAGCGCAAGUCAGCGGUAAAAUUGAGAGGCUCAACCUCUUCCCGCCGUUGAAACUG
rnacentral:rRNA from 1 species